rnacentral:snRNA from 1 species
GUUGUCAUUCUGCAGCACAUAUAUAAAUUGGAACGAUACAGAGAGAUUAGCAUGGCCCUGUGCACGGAUGACAAGCAAAUUAUGAAGCAUUCCAUAUUUUU